rnacentral:sRNA from 2 species
UAAAGUUAUGAGUGUAUUCCCGAUAGGAUUCACCUUAGUGAAGAUGCCUUGUAACCAAAAAGAGGGGGAAUAGUUUAAAAUG